UGGGGAGCAUCAGAGUAUGCGGAAAAAGUUCGAUUAUAGCUCAGAUUGAACGCUGGCGGGAUGCUUUACACAUGCAGAGUCGAACAACGCGCUGGACUUCGGUCUGGUGGCGAGUGGCGAACGCGUAGGUAAUGUAUCGGGACGUGCCUAGCUAACUUGGGGGAUAACUACGCGAAAGCGCCUUCAGCAAUACCACAUACGCCCUUCGAGGAAAGCGGAGGACCUUCGGGCCUCACUAUUGAAGCGGCCGAUAUCGGAUUGGCUAGUUGGGUGGAGUAACGGCUCGCAAGGCGAUGAUCCGCCCAGCUGGUUUGAGAGGACGACCAGCCGCACACUGGGACGAGACACGGCCCGAACUCUACGAGGAGAGGCAGCAGUGGGGAAUUUGGACAAUGGAAACCUGAUCCAGCCAUCCACGCGUGUGCGAUGAAGGCCUUCGGGUUGUAAAGCACUUUUGGCAGGAAAGAAACAGCACGGGAUAUUACCCCGUGCAACUGACGGGCUAUGCCUGCAGAAUAAGCACCGGCUAACUACGUGUAACAGCCGCGGUAAUACAGCAAAGGUGCAAGCGUUAAUCGGAAUUACUGGGCGUAAGCGUGCCUGAGCGCGGUUCGGGAAGAAGAUGUGAAAUCCCAGGCUUAACCUGGAACUGCAUUUUUAACUACCGAGCUGGAGUGUGUCAGAGAGUGGAAUUCCGCGUGCAGCAGUGAAAUGCGUAGAUAUGCGGAGGGAACACAAAUGCUGAAACAACCUCCUGGGAUAUACUGACGCUCAUGCACGAAAGCGUGGGGAACAAACAAGUUAGAUACCUGGUAGUCCACGCCUAAACGAUGUCCAGCUAGCUAUUUGAGCCUUCAGGCCUUGGUAGCGCAACUAACGUGAAGUUGACCGCCUGGGAAAUACGGUCGCAAGAUUAAAGGCACAAAGGAAUUGACGGGGACCCCACCAAGCGACUGGCGGUGGAUGAUGUGGAUUAAUUCGAUGCAACAUGAAAACCUUACCUACCCAUGGCAUGUCUGGAAUCCCGAAGAGAUUUGAUGCUCGCAAAGGCCAGGGCACAAGUGCUGCAUGGCUGUCGUCCAGCUCGUGUCGUGAGAUGUUGGGUUCAAUCCUGGCCACAACCUGUCGUGGGUGCCGAAGAACACUCUAAUGGGACUGCCGGUGACAAACCGGAGGAAGGUGGGGAUGACCGUCAAGUCCUCAUAGCCCUUAUGGUGAAGACUUCCACGUCAUACAAUGGUCGGGACAGAGGUCGCCAACCCGCGAGAGGCCAAUCCCAGAAACCCGAUCCGUAGUCCGGAUCUUGAUCUACGCUCGACUGCGUGAGUCAGAAUCAUAGUAAUCGCGGACAGCAUGUCGCAGUGAAUACGUUCAGGUCUUGUACACACCGCCCGUCACACCAUGGGAGUGGGUUUUACCCGAAGUAGUUAGCUAACCAUGGGGAGAACGGUCUACAGUAGAGAUUCAUGACUGGGGUGAAGUCGUAACAAGGUAA
rnacentral:rRNA from 1 species